CUGGCCGUCGCGGGCGCCACAGUCAAGAUGGCGGCCGCGCGGAAGAUGCCUGCCUGUGAGCUGCCGUGACACGCGGAGCCCUAACCAGGCUCCCUCUUUUGGUGCUGAUGAUGACAGAGUCUGCAUGGACUUGAAUAGAAUUCAGAAGGGUGCUGUGGCUGUUUGUGCCAUCGAUGCAUCUGGCUGCUUCACAGCAGAGGUGGCUGACUUGGCUGGACAGUAUGUGAAGAUGUGGUCAUCAAGCUUGUGCCAGCCAGGUAGUGUAACACGACUUGUCAGAGGAGAGAAAUCCACUCAUUUUCCCUACUUGUGGGAUGUGUUGCAAUGAUGCAGAUAAGAACAUCACUAAAGUACUGAAAGAGAAAGGCAGACUGGUUCACAGCAGUAGUUUUAAGCACAGCUCUCCUUUCUGCUGGAGUAUGUGACCUUGCCUGAGUUGCCUGCUGUUGUGGUCUUCAAAGAUGGAGCGUCCUUUGUUUCUGAUGGUGCCAAAAAGGAGAGCUUCUUCACCUGCUUCUCCGGUGCAAGCUCUUCUGUCUGUCUGCUGAGAUGUUUCUGCCUGUUUCUCUGGCAGAGAAGUGUUUGCUUUUUGGGCUGGCGAGCUGACCAUCCGUACUACCGUCGCCUUGAAUGCCUCCAACCAGCAGUGUUUGCUGCCAGACAGACACUUUGAGAAGACAGAGGACAUGGUUAAGUUCAUGAAGGAUAUCUUGGAUGGUGCUGCUGAAGCACAGGCUGGUGAUGGACUUCUGCAACGAAGCAAGAGAGUCAUCUAUGAGGCCAAGGCUGCUGUAAUGGUAGAGUUCAUUGCUUAUUCAGUGAGGUGAUGCUCUUGUCAGUCAAGAAGGACUUAGUUGCAGAGGCUUUAGAAAUGCUUUGAUGCAAGCUUGUUGCUAUGCUGUGCCUAGUGUAUCUAUUGUCACUAUUUAUAACUAGGCUUAAGCCAAAUGAACUUCUUGAUUAAAACAGCCAAUCAUGUCUGCCACAGUUCUAACUGUUCCACCUGCAUGAAUUCCACAUUUUUCACUCUGCUGUUAGUCUGACAUAUUUUAAGGGAGAGAAUCAUGAAAAUCCAACCUCUUUUCCUUGA